rnacentral:rRNA from 1 species
UACGGAGGUUGCAAGCGUUAUCCGGAUUUAUUGGGUUUAAAGGGUGCGUAGGCGGAUUUGUAAGUCAGUGGUGAAAUCCUGCAGCUUAACUGUAGAACUGCCAUUGAUACUGCUAAUCUUGAGUACAGUUGAGGUGGGCGGAAUGUGUAGUGUAGCGGUGAAAUGCUUAGAUAUUACACAGAACACCAAUUGCGAAGGCAGCUCACUAAAGUGUAACUGACGCUGAGGCACGAAAGCAUGGGGAGCAAACAGG